AGUCGAGCGCCCCCGCAAGGGGGAGCGGCGGACGGGUGAGUAACGCGUGGGAAUUUUCCUCAAGGUACGGAACAACUCAGGGAAACUUGGGCUAAUACCGUAUGAUGUCUAGCGACCAAAGAUUUAUCGCCUUGGGAUAAGCCCGCGUCAGAUUAGGUAGUUGGUGGGGUAACGGCCUACCAAGCCUGCGAUCUGUAGCUGGUCUGAGAGGACGAUCAGCCACACUGGGACUGAGACACGGCCCAGACUCCUACGGGAGGCAGCAGUGGGGAAUCUUGCGCAAUGGGCGAAAGCCUGACGCAGCCAUGCCGCGUGAAUGAUGAAGGUCUUAGGAUUGUAAAGUUCUUUCGCCCGUGACGAUGAUGACGGUAACGGGAGAAGAAGCCCCGGCUAACUUCGUGCCAGCAGCCGCGGUAAUACGAAGGGGGCUAGCGUUGUUCGGAAUUACUGGGCGUAAAGCGCGCGUAGGCGGUUUUGCAAGCCAGAGGUGAAAUGCCUGAGCUCAACUUAGGAAUUGCCUUUGGGACUGCGAGGCUUUGAGGACUGGAGAGGUGAGUGGAAUUCCCAGUGUAGAGGUGAAAUUCGUAGAUAUUGGGAAGAACACCAGUGGCGAAGGCGGCUCACUGGCCAGUUUCUGACGCUGCAGCGCGAAAGCGUGGGGAUCAAACAGGAUUAGAUACCCUGGUAGUCCACGCUGUAA
rnacentral:rRNA from 1 species